rnacentral:rRNA from 1 species
GAUGAACGCUGGCGGCGUGCCUAAUACAUGCAAGUCGAGCGAACGGACGAGAAGCUUGCUUCUCUGAUGUUAGCGGCGGACGGGUGAGUAACACGUGGAUAACCUACCUAUAAGACUGGGAUAACUUCGGGAAACCGGAGCUAAUACCGGAUAAUAUUAUGAACCGCAUGGUUCAAAAGUGAAAGACGGUCUUGCUGUCACUUAUAGAUGGAUCCGCGCUGCAUUAGCUAGUUGGUAAGGUAACGGCUUACCAAGGCAACGAUGCAUAGCCGACCUGAGAGGGUGAUCGGCCACACUGGAACGGGGACACGGUCCAGACUCCUACGGGAGGCAGCAGUAGGGUAUCUUCCGCAAUGGGCGAAAGCCUGACGGAGCGACGCCGCGUGAGUGAUGAAGGUCUUCGGAGCGUAAAACUCUGUUAUUAGGGAAGAACAGAUGUGUAAGUAGCUGUGCACAGCUUGACGGUACCGAAUCAGAAAGCCACGGCUAACUACGUG